rnacentral:rRNA from 1 species
UACGGAGGGGGCUAGCGUUGUUCGGAAUUACUGGGCGUAAAGCGCACGUAGGCGGCUUUGUAAGUUAGAGGUGAAAGCCCAGGGCUUAACCCUGGAAUUGCCUUUAAGACUGCAUCGCUAGAAUCGUGGAGAGGUGAGUGGAAUUCCGAGUGUAGAGGUGAAAUUCGUAGAUACUCGGAAGAACACCAGUGGCGAAGGCGACUCACUGGACACGUAUUGACGCUGAGGUGCGAAAGCGUGGGGAGCAAACAGG